rnacentral:rRNA from 1 species
ACACAUGCAGUCGAGCGGCAGCGACACAUUGACCCUUCGGGGGAUUUGUUGGGCGGCGAGCGGCGGACGGGUGAGUAAUGCCUGGGAACAUGCCUUAGUGUGGGGGAUAACCAUUGGAAACGAUGGCUAAUACCGCAUAAUCUCUACGGAGCAAAGAGGGGGACCUUCGGGCCUCUCGCGCUAAGAUUGGCCCAGGUGGGAUUAGCUAGUAGGUGGGGUAACGGCUCACCUAGGCGACGAUCCCUAGCUGGUCUGAGAGGAUGAUCAGCCACACUGGAACUGAGACACGGUCCAGACUCCUACGGGAGGCAGCAGUGGGGAAUAUUGCACAAUGGGGGAAACCCUGAUGCAGCCAUGCCGCGUGUGUGAAGAAGGCCUUCGGGUUGUAAAGCACUUUCAGCAGUGAGGAAGGCGGUAUCGUUAACAGCGGUAUCGUUUGACGUUAGCUGCAGAAGAAGCACCGGCUAACUCCGUGCCAGCAGCCGCGGUAAUACGGAGGGUGCGAGCGUUAAUCGGAAUUACUGGGCGUAAAGCGCAUGCAGGCGGCUUGUUAAGCCAGAUGUGAAAGCCCGGGGCUCAACCUCGGAAUCGCAUUUGGGAACUGGCAGGCUAGAGUCUUGUAGAGGGGGGUAGAAUUUCAGGUGUAGCGGGUGAAAUGCGUAGAGAUCUGAAGGAUACCGGUGGGCGAAGGCGGCCCCUGGACAAAGACUGACGCUCAGAUGCGAAAGCGGUGGGGAGCAAACAGAUAGAUACCUGUAGUCCACCGCCGUAAACGAUUGUUCUACUUGGAAGGUUGGGUGGUCUUGAACCACUGGGCUUUCGG